UACGAAGGGGACUAGCGUUGUUCGGAAUCACUGGGCGUAAAGCGCACGUAGGCGGAUUUGUAAGUCAGGGGUGAAAUCCCGGGGCUCAAUCUCGGAACUGCCUUUGAUACUGCGAAUCUUGAGUCCGAUAGAGGUGGGUGGAAUUCCUAGUGUAGAGGUGAAAUUCGUAGAUAUUAGGAAGAACACCAGUGGCGAAGGCGGCCCACUGGAUCGGUACUGACGCUGAGGUGCGAAAGCGUGGGGAGCAAACAGG
rnacentral:rRNA from 1 species